rnacentral:lncRNA from 1 species
CUAGUACGUAGCUUCCUGCUGGAAUCAUGAUGGAGACCCUGUGGAACUCUUGCAGUUGGGAAAUCAGUUGACUAAAUUUAGGCAGUGCCUUAAGGAAAAUCCUAAAUUUUUGCAAGAGAAAGUGAAACAAUAUUUUAUGGUAAGAAAAUUGGAGUAUUUAUUUCUUUAAUUUUUAAGUUGGAUUUCAAAAUAUUAGAAGGAACAUUAGGGGAACAUAAUGUGUAUAUUUAUGUAAGUUAGUUUCUAAUAAUGUAUAGAUGUCAGAAUGUCUUAAUUUCUAGUUAAAAAUGUAAAUGCUUACACUAACAUUGUUUUCCAAGUUUUAAUGCAAGUUGAUCUUUUUCAUACUAAUAUCUGUGUCCAUUUUUAUAUAUGUAUGUAUUAACAAAAUGUGUACAUUUUCCUAUUUUGUUAAUGGAAGAGUAAUAUAAACUAUAAGAACAGUUAAGUACACUGUAUACUCUCUAUUUUUAUGACUGAGUUCUUUUGGUGUUUGCUUGCAUUCCUGGAUUUCUAGGCAUUUAUACUUGGCUUUAUUCUUGCUCUAUAUACUCAUUAAACUUUUUAAAAGCUAUUUAACCCAGUGAUGUUACUCUAUGAGGUAUCAUUUAAUUAAACUUCAUACAACUAUUUCUGUGUCUAAUUCAAAGUAUGUUAUUAAACUUGGUCAGUGCCAUUAUUGAAUAUGAUUAUUUCUCUUCUCCUUUAAAUAUAAGAAUCUCUUCCCAAAACCCAUCAAGAGCCAAUGAUGGAUAAAUAGCCUAGUAUCAACUGCUUAAAGAAGAUUGCCCUAGUCCAUAGGCUUCCUGCCUCCAACUUUCUUACUGCCUGCCUACACACAGUUUUUAUUUCUCUGAUGUUUUCUCUUCCUCUCAACUUCUAUUAAAAUACAAUUCAUUUAAAAUUAAAUAAAUUUUAAAAAUGUAUGUAUUUUUAUUUUCUGGACUCAUGUUUCAAAAUAUGUUCACAUUGUGAAAUGAGUAUAUAAAAGUAAUUAGCAUAUCCAUCACCUUGCCUACCUAUCAUUUUUAUGUGGAAAGAAUUUUUGAGAGCUAUUGUCUUAGUAAUUUUCAAGCAUAUGCUACAUAAUUAUUAACUGAAGUCACAAUGUUGUAUGACAGAUCUCCAGGACUUAUUCCUUUUGUCUAAUAGAAACAUUGUACCCAUUGACAGACAUCAUCCUACUCUGCUCCAUGACCUGCUCAUUUUAACCAAAUUCAACUCUUUGCUUUUGUGAGUCAAACUAUUUUAGAUUCUACAUGUAACUGAGAUCAUGUAGGGUUUAUCUUUCUGUGCCUUGAUUAUUUUACUCAGAAUAAUAUCAUCCAAGGUUAUCUAUGAUUUUGCAAGUGGCAGGGUUUCCUUGUUUUUAAAGGUUGAAUAAUAUUUUAAAGUGUGAUAUAUUAUGUCUAUGUCUAUGUAUUAUACUUUCUUCAUAAAUUCAUUUGUUGAUGGACAUUUUUAUUCAAUAUAGUACUAGAAGUAGUAGCUAGAGCAAUUAAGCAAGAAAAAAUAGUCACAUUGUAAAGGAUAAAGUAACAUUGUAUCUGUUUAGAAACGAUAUGAAAAAAUAUAUAGAAAACCAAAAAAUCACACACACAAAAUUAGGACAAAUAAACACAUCAGUAAAUUUCAGGGUAUAAGAUCAUCACACAAACGUUAGCAAAUUUGUGUACACUAAUACUUAACUAGCUGAAACAGAAAUAAAGAAAUAUUAUUUAUAACAGUAUCAAAAAUAAGAUAAAAUACUUAGAAAUAAAUAUAACCAAAUAGGUUAAGAAAUAUGUACAUUGAAAAAAAAAACUACAUAGAAUCAAUUAAAGAAAUCGAAGACACUAAUAAAUAGAAUAAUAUUCCAUGUUUAUAAAAUGGGAAGUUAGUACUGUUAAAAUGUCCAUACUAUCUCACAAAGAAAUCUGUAUAUCUCAUGGAUAUAUCUCAUGCAGUCUCUAACAAAACUUUGAUAUUUUUGCAGAAAGAGAAGAAAAAACUCCAAAACUCAUACUGAAGUAUAUAAGAGUUAUAAUAACCAAAGAAAUCUAGAGCCAAAAGAACAAAGCUAGUCUGAAUGAGUAUCUCACUACCCAGAUUAAAAAUACAUGCAAGAAUAUAGAAAUCAAAACAACAUAUUACUGGUAUUAAAUGAGACAUAUGAACUAAAAGAAUGGAAUGAAGAAUCAUGAGCUAAAUCCACACAUUUAUGAUCACUUAGUCUUUAUUAAAAUGCUCAAGAACAUACUCUUGGGAAAGGAUAGUCUCCUCAAUAAAUUGUUGAGAGGACUAUCUCUACAUGAUAAAGAGUGAAAUUGAAGCUGUAUCUCAUACCAAAUACAAAAAUCAAUACAAAUGAUUAAGACUUAAAUGUAAGACCUGAAACUACAGAAUUACUAGAUGAAAACAUAAGGAAAAUGGUCCAUGUCAUUGGUCUAGGUAAUGUUUUCUUGGAUGUGAUCCUCAAAGCAUAGGCAAUAAAUGUAAAAUAUACAAAUGAACUACAUAAAAUGCUUCUGCACAAUAAAGAAAAUGAUUAUCCAUAUCAAUGGACAAUUCAUAGAUUGGGAGAAAAUUUUCACAAACCACACAUUGACUAAGGGACUAAAGUAUUAAUGAGGAAUUCAAAAAAAUUUACUGUUAUGGUUUGGAUGUGAAGUAUCCCACAAAAGCUCAUGUGUGAGAUAAUGCAAGAAAGUUUAGUGGACAAAUGAUUGGGUUAUAAGAGCCUUAACCCAAUCUGUGAAUUAAUCCCUCUAUGGGAUAAACUGAGUGGAAACUAAAGGCAGGUAGGUGGGGCUGGAGGAGGUGGGUCACUGGGGCAAUUCUUUUGGAGUAUAUAUUUUGUAUCUGGUAAUUGGGGUUUCUCUCUCUCUCUCCACUCCCCCCCCUUCCUGAUCAUUAGGUGAGCUGCUUCCUGACUGCACACUCUUCUGCCAUGAUGUUCAAUAUCACCUUGAGCCCCAAGGAUUGGAGCUGUCUGGCUGUAGACUGAGAGCUCUGAAACCAUGAGCCACCAAAUAAACUUUUCCACCUCUGAAAUUGUUCUUGUCAUGUCUUCUAGUCAUAGCAGCAUAAAAACUGACUAAAACAGUAACAAGAAAAUGAAUAAGUGUAUAAAAUAAAUUGAAUAAAAUAUUUGAAUAGGUAUUUUAAAAAGUGACGAUGAC